rnacentral:lncRNA from 1 species
GGUGAUGGCAUGCAGCCAGAGGUAAAAUGACAAGGUGACUUAUUCGACAUGUCAAAAUCUUGUUUCCAGAGCUCUCUGACUGCUCUCACGUACUCAAAAAUAGUGGGGACAGAGCCGACCUGGGGAGGCUUGGCUUCAAGAGACGCUAGAUUAUAAAGAAAGCCAGGAGUCCCGGUCGCCAAAAUGGGGAGGAGCCAGUGAAGAAACGGGCCCAGUUUCCUCUUUAAGACCCACCCCAGAGCGCUGGCCCCGCCUCACGCCGUUGCUGCUGCGACCCGCCCCCUUCCACUCGCCCCCGGGCUGGGCUGGGGCUCCCGGUUCCGCGCCCCUGGCUACGGGGGUACGGCCCCCUAGCCACCACUACUUGGGUAAGUAAGGAGGGAAUGGCCAGUUCGGGCCACAGGGCAACGCCACUCUGGAAGCCCCGCCACGAGGUCUGGCCUCCGUAGGCCUGUAGUCUAGAUGUCUGCCCGCCUUGUGCCUACACUCGGAACCCCGGGAACUGCAGGCAUCCAGAUGUUGAACCGACGUCUCAGUGACAGGGUUAGGUGUGCCGGGUUUAAAGACU